ACUGGAGUGCGCGUGAACUCUCUACACGGGAGAAGUUACAUAAGUAGUCUCAUAUUCUCAACCAUCCAUCUAGAUAAGGUUUCGGUAGAGGCUAUCUCGGUAGUAUUUCCAUGGGUAGUUUCAUGAGCCUGGGAAGAGUUUUACACGGCUUCUUUCUGCAUCAUAAACGUGAAAACAAACUCGUAUUCUAAAAAUUUAAGGGCUUAUAAAUACACAUUGGAUAAGGCUUUCGUAGAGGUUGUGUUGGUAUUGUUUUCAAGGGUAGUUUUACGAGCCUUGUGAUAGUUUGGCAAGGUUUUUCAGAGCCUAGUUGUAUAAAGUGAUAUAGAAAAAUCAACAGAACCGACCAACUCACUGCAAAACGGGUCAAUAGGAGAAAUCACCCAUACUAGUGUUGAGGACUCGCACGACGAUUAAAAAAAAAAAGUAAAAAAUUAGUAAAUAAAUUAGUUAAAAAGAUUAUUUAAAAAAUUAGUUAAAAAAAUUAGUGUUGAUGAAGUAAAAAAAAAAUAGUUUAAAAAAUUAGUUAAAAAAGUUAAAAAAUUAGUGUUCAUGAAGUAAAAAAAAAAUAGUUUAAAAAAUUAGUUAAAAAAAAGUUAAAAAAUUAGUGUUGAAGUAGAAAAAUGUUUAAAAAUUAGUUAAAAAAGUAAAAAAAUUAGUUAAAAAAAAUUAGUGUUGUUGAUGACUCAUACGACGAUUAAAAAUAAAAAUAAAAACGUAGUAUUAGUAGCCAUCAACAGCUCUGAGGUUAGUUUGUCUUUUCCACUUUGGGACGAAAAAUUAGUCAGCAGAGUUGGAUUUCCUCGACCUCGACACAUCGCAAACUCAGUCGUAGGAGUUGAAAUAAAAAAACAAAACAAAUAAAAAAACAAACAACUCUGAUUUUAAACGGAUCAGAAAGGAGAGCUCAGUCGUAUUAGUGAUGAUGAUGAUGAUGUUGAUGAUGAUGAUGAUGAAGACGUUGAAAAUUGAUGUUGUUGUUGUUGAUGAAGACGUUGAAAAAUGAUUAACACUUCUAAGCCACGCAGCACAGCCAAUAUGUUGAGUUGUGUGCGUGUGUUUGUGUGUGUGUGUGUGUGUGUGUGUGUGUGUG